CAACCACCAGAAAGGGAGAUGAAGAGAAGUUAAUUCCUGCUGCCAUCUGCCAAGUAUCGAGAGUUCCUUCCCCAUUGAAUUCAAUAAUCACAGCAGCCAUCCAAACACCAAACUUCACAGGUGAAGCGCGAGAGUAAUAAUAGCCAGUCAAGGAGCUACUUUACCAAAGCAAAAGUUGCUAUCAGGUUGAGCUGAUGUGAUGAUGGUGCUGCAAUGAGCGGAGUCUUCAGGGUUGUUAAUAAAUAGUUAACCUGUCUAGAAUAUGUCUUCAUACAUAUGUCUAGCUACUUUCCGCUGCAAGAUGUUGUUGAUGUUAUAGUAUGUUAUGUCAUACUUUGAG